rnacentral:rRNA from 1 species
GAUGAACGCUGGCGGCGUGCCUAAUACAUGCAAGUCGAGCGAACGGACGAGAAGCUUGCUUCUCUGAUGUUAGCGGCGGACGGGUGAGUAACACGUGGAUAACCUACCUAUAAGACUGGGAUAACUUCGGGAAACCGGAGCUAAUACCGGAUAAUAUUUUGAACCGCAUGGUUCAAAAGUGAAAGACGGUCUUGCUGUCACUUAUAGAUGGAUCCGCGCUGCAUUAGCUAGUUGGUAAGGUAACGGCUUACCAAGGCAACGAUGCAUAGCCGACCUGAGAGGGUGAUCGGCCACACUGGAACUGAGACACGGUCCAGACUCCUACGGGAGGCAGCAGUAGGGAAUCUUCCGCAAUGGGCGAAAGCCUGACGGAGCAACGCCGCGUGAGUGAUGAAGGUCUUCGGAUCGUAAAACUCUGUUAUUAGGGAAGAACAUAUGUGUAAGUAACUGUGCACAUCUUGACGGUACCUAAUCAGAAAGCCACGGCUAACUACGUGCCAGCAGCCGCGGUAAUACGUAGGCGGCAAGCGUUAUCCGGAAUUAUUGGGCGUAAAGCGCGCGUAGGCGGUUUUUUAAGUCUGAUGUGAAAGCCCACGGCUCAACCGUGGAGGGUCAUUGGAAACUGGAAAACUUGAGUGCAGAAGAGGAAAGUGGAAUUCCAUGUGUAGCGGUGAAAUGCGCAGAGAUAUGGAGGAACACCAGUGGCGAAGGCGACUUUCUGGUCUGUAACUGACGCUGAUGUGCGAAAGCGUGGGGAUCAAACAGGAUUAGAUACCCUGGUAGUCCACGCCGUAAACGAUGAGUGCUAAGUGUUAGGGGGUUUCCGCCCCUUAGUGCUGCAGCUAACGCAUUAAGCACUCCGCCUGGGGAGUGCGACCGCAAGGUUGAAACUCAAAGGAAUUGACGGGGACCCGCACAAGCGGUGGAGCAUGUGGUUUAAUUCGAAGCAACGCGAAGAACCUUACCAAAUCUUGACAUCCUUUGACAACUCUAGAGAUAGAGCCUUCCCCUUCGGGGGACAAAGUGACAGGUGGUGCAUGGUUGUCGUCAGCUCGUGUCGUGAGAUGUUGGGUUAAGUCCCGCAACGAGCGCAACCCUUAAGCUUAGUUGCCAUCAUUAAGUUGGGCACUCUAAGUUGACUGCCGGUGACAAACCGGAGGAAGGUGGGGAUGACGUCAAAUCAUCAUGCCCCUUAUGAUUUGGGCUACACACGUGCUACAAUGGACAAUACAAAGGGCAGCGAAACCGCGAGGUCAAGCAAAUCCCAUAAAGUUGUUCUCAGUUCGGAUUGUAGUCUGCAACUCGACUACAUGAAGCUGGAAUCGCUAGUAAUCGUAGAUCAGCAUGCUACGGUGAAUACGUUCCCGGGUCU